UUAAAAAGUUUUAACAUCCUGAAGAAGCCUGAUCCUGUCUGAUCAUGGAAGCUAAGCAGGAUCGGCCGUGGUUAGUACUUAGAUGGGAGACCACCUAGGAAGACCAGGUGCUGUAGGCA
rnacentral:rRNA from 1 species